rnacentral:rRNA from 1 species
UUAAGCGUGCCUAAUACAUGCAGUCGAGCGAACGAGANGAGCUUGCUCCUUCGACGUAGCGGCGGACGGGUGAGUAACACGUGGGCACCUACCUUAUAGUUGGGAUAACUCCGGGAAACCGGGGUCUAAUACCGAAUAAUCUAUUUUAUCUUCAUGGUGAAAUACUGAAAGACGUGUUUCGUGUUGUCGCUAUAAGAUAGGGCCCGCGGCGCAUUAGCUAGUUGGUUGAGGUAACGGCUC